UACGGGGGGAGCAAGCGUUGUUCGGAUUUACUGGGCGUAAAGGGCGCGUAGGCGGUCAGCACAAGUCAGUUGUGAAAUCUCUGGGCUUAACCCAGAAAGGUCAACUGAUACUGCGGGGCUAGAGUGCAGAAGGGGCAACUGGAAUCCUCGGUGUAGCGGUGAAAUGCGUAGAUAUCGAGAGGAACACCUGCGGCGAAGGCGGGUUGCUGGGCUGACACUGACGCUGAACUGCGAAAGCUAGGGGAGCGAACGGG
rnacentral:rRNA from 1 species